rnacentral:rRNA from 1 species
GUGACCCUACGGGGGGCAGCAGUGAGGAAUAUUGGUCAAUGGGCGGAAGCCUGAACCAGCCAAGUCGCGUGAGGGAAUAAGGCCCUACGGGUCGUAAACCUCUUUUGCCGGGGAGCAAGGGCCGGGACGAGUCCCGGUCCGGAGAGUACCCGGAGAAAAAGCAUCGGCUAACUCCGUGCCAGCAGCCGCGGUAAUACGGAGGAUGCGAGCGUUAUCCGGAUUUAUUGGGUUUAUAGGGUGCGUAGUCGGGCUUUUAAGUCAGCGGUAACAAUUCGGGGCUCAACCCCGUCCGGCCGUUGAAACUG